GAGUUUGAUCAUGGCUCAGGAUGAACGCUGGCGGCGUGCCUAAUACAUGCAAGUCGAGCGAACAGACGAGGAGCUUGCUCCUCUGACGUUAGCGGCGGACGGGUGAGUAACACGUGGAUAACCUACCUAUAAGACUGGGAUAACUUCGGGAAACCGGAGCUAAUACCGGAUAAUAUAUUGAACCGCAUGGUUCAAUAGUGAAAGACGGUUUUGCUGUCACUUAUAGAUGGAUCCGCGCCGCAUUAGCUAGUUGGUAAGGUAACGGCUUACCAAGGCAACGAUGCGUAGCCGACCUGAGAGGGUGGUCGGCCACACUGGAACUGAGACACGGUCCAGACUCCUACGGGAGGCAGGCAGUAGGGAAUCUUCCGCAAUGGGCGAAAGCCUGACGGAGCAACGCCGCGUGAGUGAUGAAGGUCUUCGGAUCGUAAAACUCUGUUAUUAGGGAAGAACAAAUGUGUAAGUAACUAUGCACGUCUUGACGGUACCUAAUCAGAAAGCCACGGCUAACUACGUAGCCAG
rnacentral:rRNA from 1 species